GAUGAACGCUAGCGACAGGCUUAAUACAUGCAAGUCGAGGGGCAGCACAGGUAGCAAUACUGGGUGGCGACCGGCAAACGGGUGCGGAACACGUACACAACUUACCUUAGAGUGGGGGAUAGCCCAGGGAAACUUGGAUUAAUACCCCAUAAAACAGGGGGCCCGCAUGGGCAUAUUGUUAAAGAUUUGUCGCUUUAAGAUGGGUGUGCGUAUGAUUAGGUAGUUGGUAGGGUAAAGGCCUACCAAGCCGACGAUCAUUAACUGGUGUGAGGGCACGACCAUGCACACCGGGACUGAGACACGGGCCCGACUCCUACGGGAGGCAGCAGUAAGGAAUAUUGGUCAAUGGACGGAAGUCUGAACCAGCCAUGCCGCGUGAAGGAUGAAGGUCCUCUGGAUUGUAAACUUCUUUUAUAGGGGGCGAAAAAGGGCCAUUCUUGGUCAACUGACGGUACCCUAUGAAUAAGCACCGGCUAACUCCGUGCCAGCCGCCGCGGUAACAC
rnacentral:rRNA from 1 species